rnacentral:precursor_RNA from 7 species
AAACUUAUCUUGGUUUUUUAGUGGCACAGUUGGAGUCACUACCAGUGCUGUGUUUGACUACGUAUGUAACCACAGUAAUGGUAUGAACUCAGAUGUGCUACAGAAAUGUAUAAUCCGAGUUUUU